ACAAGCCCAGCUGCUCCAUUCUCUCAGCAUAUGACAGCCCCGCCAUCUCGGGAAUUAACUUUGAUUAGCAGAGCUCAGGAGGUUUGGACUGGUCCCAUGACACCUGAGUCUCUCCUGAAGAUGGCAGGAAAGAAGUGGCAACAGUGGCAACGAUGGAGGAGAUCGAUGUACAAGGCUGCCGUGGACCCGGUAAGAUGGACCUUGACAUCAGAAAGAUGAGGAGCCUGAUUGCCCUGGCUCUGAGGGCCCGACUGCCGGCUACUGGAGCCAAGAUCGUCCCAUCAACGGAGGGCUCGAGGCCCCCCGACUGCAUGAGAACAAAGAAGGGAAGAGAUUGAACACUUUUUCACCUUCCAUCACAGUGAGGAAUGUGGAGGAGUCACUGUGGUGGAUGUUUAUGUUAAAAUGAUUAUGAUUAUGAUUCUCAUUGGGAAACUGAUAAACACUGGCCUGGCCCAUGAUGCUCAAACACCCCAAAAAUAAAUAAACUGGAAAUGAACUAAA